AGUAUCGUAAUGUUUGGUGACAGGCGGGUGUCCGAAUACUUUCUGACAAUUCAAAAUCAGAAGAUUGCGGGUUCCAUCCUCAGCACCACCAUAUUGUUCUCCUCCUAUAUGAUUUUGGAACAGUUUGGAGAAGAAAUUGGAGACCCAAACCAGUUCCAGCAUGACGAUGCUCCUGUGCACAAAGCCAGCUUCGUGAACAUACGGCGUUGGAGUGGAAGAUCUCCUGUUAUAGAGCUAAACCCUACUGCGAUGAAUCUGAUCAUUGACUUUACCCCAGACCUGCAUCCAGACCCUACAUCGACUUUAGAAAUGCCCUUCACAAUCUUCACAAAUCUAGUGGAACAUCUUCCUAGAAGACUGGAUAUAAGGACUGAAUGUGGAACAAGAAGUUAAUAAUAAUAAUAAAUGAUAUGCAGAUCUACUACUGCGCAAGUUGUCCACAAACUUUUGGUUUUCUGCCUUGAUCUUUUUUUGGACCUUGUUUUUGACCCAGUCUCUGUAUUAGCAUGAUGUCACCUAAACAUAAUCAUGGCCCUCUUGAUCGUAAUGAUUGACGUGACGGAGCAUGCGAACGGACUGGAGAGAAAAAAAAAGAGAGAGCGACUCGCAUAUUUCCGAACAUUAAUAUCCAUCGCUCGACUUUAUUUAAAAUAGAGACGGCAAGCUGGGCCGUCUCACACCGCUCGCCAGAUUACAUCACCUUUAUAAUUACAAAACCCCGGCCGGAAUCAUGCUAGCACGUAACCAUGGCUACUUCGGCUGUAACGGGGAAACACUGUACACGUUAUGGUUGGAGAUAUUAAGGCAUUCAUUCAGUAAACUGUACAUUAAACACAAUUAAAGGUUAAAGGUCCUCCCUUAUAAAUAAUCGAAUGAAUGAACAAAGAAAAGGCGUAGAGAGAGAAGCGAAACGGAUAAACGAGUCCAUGUGGGUUGCAACAUGAACGCGAUAAGAACUGAAAGGACCUUUGAAGGAGGUUCUUGGGAAGAAAAAAAAGGGAAAUACUGACUGCUUCAAGGUCUAUCCGUUCCAGAGAGGGAAAAAAAAAGAUAUAAUCUUGAGAAUAAACAUGUUCUGAGACGUCGGAGAGGAGGAUUAGGGAAUAUUUCUGAAAACAAAAGUGUCACUACGAGAAGCCGGACGAUGAUUUAUUCGAUAACCGUCUCUAAAAGGGUCAGCGGAU